UAUUUAUAAAAACUCGUAAAAUAAUAAAGUGAUAUAUGUUAAAGUAUAAUUUCUUAAACAAAACAUGAAAAAUAUAAAUUAUCAUAAACAAAUAUUCAUCUACUGUAUAACAAAUUAGAUUUAAAAAUGUAUUGUAUGUAAAUUGUAAAAUAUUAAAAAUCUAUAUUAAACGAGAUCAUAUAUUUGAUUAUUUCAGAUUAUCAUUUAGGUAUCGAACUCAAAAAAUAUACUAAUAAGUAACAACAAUCAGUAAGAAUAUGAAAUAUAUAAAACAAAUCACUAUAUGAAAAAGGUACAAAUCACUAUAUAUUAAUAAUGACGAAUAAAAAGCUUGAGAAAUAAGAUGGUAGAGUCAUGACUUGAGAAAUUACCAGUCUCCCUCCACAAUAUAUAACACUAUAUGUAAUUCAUAUAUAAUAAUAUCAAAAUUAUAUAUAUAUAUGUAUAUAUAAAAUAUCCCCACGAAUGUAUGGGCAAACAAUAGUAUUGGAUUUUAUAAAAAUAUAAAAUCACAGAUGUAAAAUAUAAUUUUUUAAAAAUGUAACACAAAAACAAAUCAUGCUGUAAAAAAUUAAAAGCAACAUUUUUAAAACUUAAUUUAAUAAUAAAAAAUUAGAACCCUUAGUACCAUAACAUCCAAAAAUAUCAUAUAUUGAUAAAAUUUACUAAAAUAAUAUGAUAGAUACUACUAUGUAUACAGUUUACUAAAUUGAUAGAGUUAUAUUAUUUAAACAAAGCAGUGUAUUUACUUAUAAAAUCUCGCAAAAUAAUAAAAUGAUAGAUAUUAAGGUAUUAUUUCUUAAACACAACAUGGAAAUAUAAAUUAUCAUAAACAAAUAUCCAUCUACUGUAUUUAAAUAUUUUUUUUAAUGUACUGUAUAAAAAUUGUAAAAGAUUAAAAAGCUAUAUUAAACGAGAUUAUAUAUAUGAUUAUUUCAGAUUAUCAUUUAUGAAUCGAACUCAAAAAUAUAUUAAUAAGUAACAACAAUAAAUAAGAAUAUGAAAUUUAUAAAACAAAUCAGUAUAUGACAAAAAAUACAAAUCACUAUAUAUUAAUAAUGACGAAUAAAAAGCUUGAGAAAUUAGAUUAUAGAGUUAUGACUUGGGAAAUUACCAGUCUCCCUCCACAAUAUAUAACACUAAAUGUAAUUCAUAUAUUUAAAACUUAUAUGAUAAUAUUAAAUUAUAUAUUUAUAAAAUUAAAAUUCCUGCACGAAUGUGUAGGCAAACUAUAGUAGGGCUGGGCAAAUAAACCAAAUCCAAAAAUCCGAAAACCCGAAUCCGAUCCGAUAUAAAUGAUUCUGAAUCGACCCAAACCCGACAUAAAUACCGAAUAAAUUUUUUAAAUGUUAUUUCAGGUUAUGGAUAUUAUAAGAACCGAACCCAGAUCUAAAUGGAUAUCCGAUAGAAUCCGAAACAUUCAAACUCCAAAAGAAUCUUGUACCAAACAUGAUCUCUCAUAAUAUGUAUUCAAAAUAUAUUAAGAUAUAUUGAACAUCUAAAGUACUUAUCUAUUAUAUGAAGGUUGGUGGUUAUAUUACAUGAAUGUUGAUGGUUGAAGGUGACUGUUGAAUCUUAAAAUAUUUAGAUUUAGAUUUUGCUUUCAUUAUUAAACAAUGUUUCUCAUUUCAUGAAAAUUUGCUUUUCGUUUUAUGCUUUCAUUUAUUUGGUUUUCUUUUUUAUCAAAAAUAUGUUUUCCUUUCGUUUGAUUUUGAAUGAUCACGGCUUAUCAUCCUUUUGUUAUUUUGAAUCGACUUUACUUAUUUUUUGGUUACAAAAAAAUUCAAAGCAUGUAUUUUAAACCCGAAGAACCGAUUUUACUUGUGUUUUUGUUACAAAGUAGGUACAAAUCAGGUAUUUUAAAACCGAAAAACAGGUUGGGACCCGAACCCAAAAGAACAUUGGGUUAUACCGGUUCUUUGAAUAUUUACUAACCCCAACCCGAACCAGUCCCGAACCAAACUUUCAAAUAGACUGAUUUUGAUAAAACCGAAACCCGAUUAGGACCCGAAUGCCCAGGCCUAAACUAUAGUUUGGAUUUUAUAAAAUAUAAAAUUAUAGAUGUUAAAUAUAAUGUUUUUUAAAUGUAACGCAAAAACAAAUCAUGCUGUAAAAAAAUAAAAAGUAACAUUUUGAAAACUUAAUUUAAUAAUUAAAAAUCAGAACACUUAAUACCAUAACAUAAAAAAUAUCAUAUAUUGAUAAAAUUUACUAAAAUAAUAUGAUAGAUAAUACUAUGUAUCCAAUUUCUAAAAUAGUAGAGUUAUAUUUUUUAAACAUAACAGUGUAUUUACUCAUAAAAUCUGGAAAAUAAUAAAGUGAUAGAUGUUAAAGUAUUAUUUCUUAAACACAACAUGGAAAUAUAAAUUAUCAUAGACAAAUAUCCAUCUACUGUAUACUAAAUAAACUUAAAAAUGUAUUGUAUACAAAUUGUAAGAAAAUUUAAAGCUAUAUUAAACGAGAUUAUAUAUUUGAUUAUUUUAGAUUAUCAUUUAUGUAUCGAACUCAAAAAUAUAUUCAUAAGUAACAACAAUCAAUAAGAAUAUAGAUAAAAAUCCCUAUAUAAUAAAAAAUACAAAUCACUAUAUAUUAAUAAUAACGAAUACGAAACUUUAGCAAUAAGAUUAUAGAGUUAUGACUUGGGAAAUACCAGUCUUCGUCCACAAUAUAUGACAUUAAAUAUAAAUCAUGUAUUUAAAACUUAUAUGAUAAUAUUUAAAUUAUAUAUUUAUAAAAUAAAAAAAACUUAUCCAUGAUUGUGCGGGUCAAACUCUAGUUUUGGAUUAUUAGACAGCUUUCUUGUUGUCUCUGCUAGAUCUCUGGUUAGCAAAUGAUUAAUCAAAAUGGUGGGAUCAGGAUCAUCUAUAUUUGUAUGGAAUGAUCAUUGACUUCCAUCCACUUGUCUGAGACCAAAAAAUAAAAACAACACAAGCUUUACCCGGACCUCACUGUGGAUUCUUUCAUCAAUGCAACUUCGAGAACAUAAAAUUUACAGGCAAUUCCAAACAUGGUGGAUCCUCAGGAUGCAGAGUUUAUUGAAAUCAUACCAUUAAGUCGAGUUCAGACAGCUGGCCAGGAUGGAUGGCAUUUCACUAAUAAUGGGAGAUACACUGUUAAAUCUGGAUAUCAAGUGGAAUGUGUAUACCAGGAUGUAUAGCGGUUAAAGAAAAAUUGAGAGCAAGAGGAAUUCGAGGAGAUACAACUUGUGUAUGAUGUGAAGCACCUGAAGGAUCUAAAAAUCAUGUGUUUUUUGAAUGUC